CUUAAAAUGAAUUGACGGGACCCCGCACAAGCAGCGGAGCGUGUGGUUUAAUUCGAGGCUACACGAAGAACCUUACCAGGGUUUGACAUGCAAGUGGUAGGAAUCCGAAAGGUGACCGACCCUUCGGGAGCUUGCACAGGUGCUGCAUGGCUGUCGUCAGCUCGUGUCGUGAGAUGUUGGGUUAAGUCCCGCAACGAGCGCAACCCUUGUCAUUAGUUGCCAUCAUUUGGUUGGGCACUCUAAUGAGACUGCCGGUGACAAACCGGAGGAAGGUGGGGAUGACGUCAAGUCCUCAUGGCCCUUAUGGGUAGGGCUUCACACGUCAUACAAUGGUCGGUACAGAGGGUUGCCAACCCGCGAGGGGGAGCUAAUCCCACAAAGCCGAUCGUAGUCCGGAUCGCAGUCUGCAACUCGACUGCGUGAAGUCGGAAUCGCUAGUAAUCGUGGAUCAGCAUGUCACGGUGAAUACGUUCCCGGGUCUU
rnacentral:rRNA from 1 species